GGGCAGAUGUCCGAGUGGUCUAAGGAGCUCGACUCAAGUUUGUCAUAACUUACAAGCCUAGCUUGUAGCAUUCGAGUAGCGCAAGCUGCGAGGGUUCGAAUCCCUCUCUGCUCA